rnacentral:tRNA from 1 species
GGUAAGAUGGCUGAGUGCUCAAGCGGUGGAUUGUAGCCCCACAUACAGAGGUUCAAUCCCUCUUUUUACCA